rnacentral:rRNA from 1 species
AUACGGAGGGUGCAAGCGUUGUUCGGAAUCACUGGGCGUAAAGGGCGCGCAGGCGGUUUGGUAAGUCAGAUGUGAAAGCCCAUGGCUCAACCAUGGAAGUGCAUUUGAAACUGUCAGACUUGAGUACUAGAGGGGAAAGUGGAAUUCCCGGUGUAGAGGUGAAAUUCGUAGAUAUCGGGAGGAAUACCGGUGGCGAAGGCGACUUUCUGGCUAGAUACUGACGCUGAGGCGCGAAAGCGUGGGGAGCAAACAGGAGUAGAAACCCUUGUAGUCC